GAGAGAAAUUUAUAGACCUGCUCGAUUUACAGAUAUGGUGGCAUAUGCCCUUCAGGUUGUUGUUGAUGAUAUUACUGUUACUUAUCAAGAAGCAAUGCGAAGCUUAGAAAGUGAAAAUUGGAAAAAAGUGAUAAGUGCACAUUUGC